GAUGGGCCCGCGGCGCAUUAGCUAGUUGGUGAGGUAACGGCUCACCAAGGCAACGAUGCGUAGCCGACCUGAGAGGGUGAUCGGCCACACUGGGACUGAGACACGGCCCAGACUCCUACGGGAGGCAGCAGUAGGGAAUCUUCCGCAAUGGACGAAAGUCUGACGGAGCAACGCCGCGUGAGUGAUGAAGGCCUUCGGGUCGUAAAGCUCUGUUGUUAGGGAAGAACAAGUAUCGGAGUAACUGCCGGUACCUUGACGGUACCUAACCAGAAAGCCACGGCUAACUACGUGCCAGCAGCCGCGGUAAUACGUAGGUGGCAAGCGUUGUCCGGAAUUAUUGGGCGUAAAGCGCGCGCAGGCGGUUCCUUAAGUCUGAUGUGAAAGCCCACGGCUCAACCGUGGAGGGUCAUUGGAAACUGGGGAACUUGAGUGCAGAAGAGAAGAGCGGAAUUCCACGUGUAGCGGUGAAAUGCGUAGAGAUGUGGAGGAACACCAGUGGCGAAGGCGGCUCUUUGGUCUGUAACUGACGCUGAGGCGCGAAAGCGUGGGGAGCGAACAGGAUUAGAUACCCUGGUAGUCCACGCCGUAAACGAUGAGUGCUAAGUGU
rnacentral:rRNA from 1 species